UGCACAUAAUGAGUUUGAUUUUUUUUUUUCCUCUUACAAAGUCCUGAAUCUAAUGCUUGGUUCCAAUUCAACACCUGGAGGUGACUCUUCAUAGACAUGGCAUUGACCGAUUCACCUCCGGCCCUGUCCCAUUGGAUGUGGCAACUUCACACAGAGAGACAUCUUCCAAUUUGUCACUCCUGUACCUGAUCCCCGCCACCUUCUGCCCUGAGACGACGACAUAACUGUGAGUAAAAUGGGUUCUAAAUACCACUUCCAGGGAUAAAAUUGA
rnacentral:lncRNA from 1 species